UACGGGGGGUGCAAGCGUUACUCGGAAUCAUUGGGCGUAAAGGGCGCGUAGGCGGCCAGGCAAGUCAGGUGUGAAAGCCCGGGGCUCAACCUCGGAAGUGCAUUUGAUACUGCUUGGCUUGAGUAUGGGAGAGGGAAGUGGAAUUCCUGGUGUAGAGGUGAAAUUCGUAGAUAUCAGGAGGAACACCGGUGGCGAAGGCGACUUCCUGGACCAAUACUGACGCUGAGGCG
rnacentral:rRNA from 1 species